UUAACACACUGCAAGUCGAACGGAACGACCCUUGAAGGAAGUUUUCGGUACGAACUGAGAGGACGUGUUUAGUGGCGGACGGGUGAGUAACGCGUGAGUAACCUGCCUUGGAUGGGGAAUAACACAGAGAAAUUUGUGCUAAUACCGCAUAAUGCAGCUGAGUCGCAUGGCUCUGGCUGCCAAAGAUUUAUCGCUCUGAGAUGGACUCGCGUCUGAUUAGCUAGUUGCGGGGUAACGGCCCACCAAGGCGACGAUCAGUAGCCGGACUGAGAGGUUGGCCGGCCACAUUGGGACUGAGACAUGGCCCAGACUCCUACGGGAGGCAGCAGUGGGGAAUAUUGGGCAAUGGGCGCAAGCCUGACCCAGCAACGCCGCGUGAAGGAAGAAGGCUUUCGGGUUGUAAACUUCUUUUCCCAGGGACGAAGCAAGUGACGGUACCUGAGGAAUAAGCCACGGCUAACUACGUG
rnacentral:rRNA from 1 species